GACGAGGGGUCCUAGCGUUGUUCGGAAUUACUGGGCGUAAAGCGUAUGUAGGCGGCUUUUUAAGUCGGGUGUGAAAUCCCCCGGCUUAACCUGGGAACUGCGUCUGAUACUGGGAGGCUAGAGUAUGGGAGAGGGAUGUGGAAUUCCAGGUGUAGCGGUGAAAUGCGUAGAUAUCUGGAGGAACACCGGUGGCGAAGGCGGCAUCCUGGACCAUAACUGACGCUGAUCCGCGAAAGCUAGGGGAGCAAACGGG
rnacentral:rRNA from 1 species